UACAGAGGUCUCAAGCGUUGUUCGGAUUCAUUGGGCGUAAAGGGUGCGUAGGCGGCGCGGUAAGUCGGGUGUGAAAUUUCGGAGCUUAACUCCGAAACUGCAUUCGAUACUGCCGUGCUUGAGGACUGGAGAGGAGACUGGAAUUUACGGUGUAGCGGUGAAAUGCGUAGAUAUCGUAAGGAAGACCAGUGGCGAAGGCGG
rnacentral:rRNA from 1 species